rnacentral:lncRNA from 1 species
GUGUGGUGAGGGGAGGAGCUUCGGGUGGCCAAUGCGAAGCUUGCCGAAGCCAAGCAGAAGGCUGAGGAGCGAGCAGCAAAGGUUAGGGAUCAAAUCAUCGAGGUUAGGCAAGAGGCUGAAGAAAAGAUUGAUGAGGCCCGCCGCUCAGCUAUGGAAUCCAUCAAGGUUUUGGAGGAUUUCAAGUAGGAACUGACUCGAGCAGUUGAUAAUUUUAAGGUGUCAGAGGAGUAUCAUGAUGUUCAGGUCA